GGGCCCCCCAAAGUGCUGGGAUUGUAGGCAUGAGCCGCUGCGCCCAGCCAGCACCCCACUGUUUAAUGUAUAUGUAUGAAGCUCAUCGCAAUUUGUAAUCAAUUUAUUUAUUGUUUUUGUCUCUCUCCCACUAGACUGUCACCUAAAACCGAGCAGAGGCCAUAUGCGUGCUCUAUAAAUAUUUGUUGUUAGUCAGCAAACAUUUAUUGAAUGACUGUAUGAAGGAGAUAAUGGUUUUACCUGGCUUUGGAAGGCUGAGUAGGAACAGGGAAAGCAAAGAAGGAUGUGCUUAGCUGUAAUAUCCGAAAACUCAACUAUCAGUAGCUUAACUUCUAAGGAUAUCUAUUGUUGACUUGGGAAGAUGUCCGGAUCUAGAUUGUCCUCAUGUUGAUUCUGCAGCUUAACAGUGUCAUUGGCCUCCCUGCUGCUUUCAAUUUUUGCACACUGGCACCCUCAGCAUGUUGGCAUUUAUCCUCAGGCUUCGCACCUUAUGGUCACAAGAUGGCUGCCAUAGCUCCAGGCAUCACGUCCUCACACGACUGUGUCCAAAAUAGGAAGAGAGUGGCCAGGCAUGAGCCACCGUGCCUGGCCCCACUCACCUUUCUUAGC
rnacentral:lncRNA from 10 species